UACGUAGGGGGCAAGCGUUGUCCGGAUUUAUUGGGCGUAAAGAGCGUGCAGGCGGCCACACAGGUCAGCUGUGAAAACUCGAGGCUCAACCUCGAGACGUCGGUUGAAACCGUAUGGCUAGAGUCCGGAAGAGGAGAGUGGAAUUCCCGGUGUAGCGGUGAAAUGCGCAGAUAUCGGGAAGAACACCCGUGGCGAAGGCGGCUCUCUGGGACGGUACUGACGCUGAGACGCGAAAGCGUGGGGAGCGAACAGG
rnacentral:rRNA from 1 species